rnacentral:rRNA from 1 species
GACGAACGCUGGCGGCGUGCUUAACACAUGCAAGUCGAACGGACAGGCCCUGCUCUUGUUGGUUGCUCGAUUGGCGAACGGGUGUGUAUCACGUGAGUAACCUGCCCUUGACUUUGUGAUAAAUUUUCGAAACUCCGGCUCAUAUCCCAUAUGAUCUCUUGCUGCAUGUUGUUCAUUGGUAAGUUUCGGCGGUUGGGGAUCGACUCGCGGCUUAUCAGCUUGUUUGUGGAGUAGUUGCUUACCAAGGGUUUGACGGGUAGCCGGCCUGAGAGGGUGACCGGCGACAUGAGGACUAAGGGACGGACCAGAAGGCUACGGGAGGCAGCAGUGGAGAAUAUGGCAGAGUGAGCGGAAGCCUGAGACAAAAACGCCGGGAGCGGGAUGACGGCCUUCGAGUUGUAAACAGAUGUGGAAUGUAACGAAGCGGGAGUGACGGUAAUGAGUAAAGAAGCAACGGCUAACUACGUG